GCCCUCAUAGCUCAGACGGCUAGAGUGCAUCCUUGGUAAGGAUGAGGUCAUCGGUUCGAUUCCGAUUGAGGGCUCCA
rnacentral:tRNA from 1 species